rnacentral:rRNA from 1 species
UAGGGAAUCUUCGGCAAUGGACGAAAGUCUGACCGAGCAACGCCGCGUGAGUGAAGAAGGUUUUCGGAUCGUAAAACUCUGUUGUUAGAGAAGAACAAGGACGUUAGUAACUGAACGUCCCCUGACGGUAUCUAACCAGAAAGCCACGGCUAACUACGUGCCAGCAGCCGCGGUAAUACGUAGGUGGCAAGCGUUGUCCGGAUUUAUUGGGCGUAAAGCGAGCGCAGGCGGUUUCUUAAGUCAGAUGUGAAAGCCCCCGGCUCAACCGGGGAGGGUCAUUGGAAACUGGGUGACUUGAGUGCAGAAGAGGAGAGUGGAAUUCCAGGUGUGGCGGUGAAAUGCGUAGAUAUAUGGAGGAACACCAGUGGCGAAGGCGGCUCUCUGGUCUGUAACUGACGCUGAGGCUCGAAAGCGUGGGGAGCAAACAGG